rnacentral:rRNA from 1 species
CGGGACACGUGGUAUCCUGUCUGAAUAUGGGGGGACCAUCCUCCAAGGCUAAAUACUCCUGACUGACCGAUAGUGAACCAGUACCGUGAGGGAAAGGCGAAAAGAACCCCGGCGAGGGGAGUGAAAAAGAACCUGAAACCGUGUACGUACAAGCAGUGGGAGCACGCUUCGGCGUGUGACUGCGUACCUUUUGUAUAAUGGGUCAGCGACUUAUAUUCUGUAGCAAGGUUAACCGAAUAGGGGAGCCGAAGGGAAACCGAGUCUUAACUGGGCGUUAAGUUGCAGGGUAUAGACCCGAAACCCGGUGAUCUAGCCAUGGGCAGGUUGAAGGUUGGGUAACACUAACUGGAGGACCGAACCGACUAAUGUUGAAAAAUUAGCGGAUGACUUGUGGCUGGGGGUGAAAGGCCAAUCAAACCGGGAGAUAGCUGGUUCUCCCCGAAAGCUAUUUAGGUAGCGCCUCGUGAAUUCAUCUCCGGGGGUAGAGCACUGUUUCGGCAAGGGGGUCAUCCCGACUUACCAACCCGAUGCAAACUGCGAAUACCGGAGAAUGUUAUCACGGGAGACACACGGCGGGUGCUAACGUCCGUCGUGAAGAGGGAAACAACCCAGAC